rnacentral:rRNA from 1 species
GUCUUUUUGAUUUAUAUUUAUUUAAAGUCUAAUCUGCUCACUGAAUUAAAAUUUAAAGAGCCGCAGUAUUUUAACUGUGCAAAGGUAGCAUAAUAAUUUGUUUUUUAAUUGAAAACUAGAAUGAAUGAUUGAACGAGAUAUAUUCUGUCUCAAUUUUAAUUUAAUAUAAAUUAAUUUUUUAGUUAAAAAGCUAAAAUUAAUUUAAAAGACGAGAAGACCCUAUAGAUUUUUAUAUAAUUAUUUAUUAAUUUAUAUAUAUGUAUAUAAUAUUUAUAUUUAUAGGUAAUUAUAUUUUAUUGGGGUAAUAAAAAAAUAAAAUUAACUUUUAUAAAAUAAAAACAUAAAUUAAUGAAAAUUUGAUCCAAAUUUAAUGAUUAAAAGAUUAAAUUACCUUAGGGAUAACAGCGUAAUUUUAAUUUUAAGUUCUUAUUGAAAUUAAAGAUUGCGACCUCGAUGUUGGAUUAAGAAAAAUUUUAAAAGAAGAUUUUUAAAUUUUAGGUCUGUUCGACCUUUAAAAUCUU